rnacentral:RNase_P_RNA from 1 species
UGAGUUCGCCGGACGGCCGCGGGCGAGCCUUCGGGUUCGAUCGAGGAAAGUCCGGACUCCACAGGGAAAGAGUGCUGGGUAACACCCAGGCGGGGCAACCCGACGGAAAGUGCCACAGAGAACAGACCGCCUAUGUCGCUUGCGGCAGGUAAGGGUGAAACGGUGGUGUAAGAGACCACCAGCACGGCAGGAGACUGCCGUGGCUCGGCAAACCCCACUCGGAGCAAGGUCAAGCAGGAGCAGGGCGUCCCGCCCGGCACGCUCCAGGUAGACCGCAUGAGGUCGCUGGCAACAGCGGCCCCAGAUAGAUGGUCGUCGCGGGCAACCGCACAGAAUCCGGCUUACAGGCGGACUCACACG